GGGGAUAGCUCAGUGGCAGAGUGCAUGGUUAGCGAGCACGAGGUCCUGGGUUCCAUCCCCAGCACCCCCA
rnacentral:tRNA from 1 species